AUAUUCCCAUGAGAGUGAGACUGAAUAACUGAUAAAAUCUCAUCGAUGAUAACUCUUGGCAUACAUAUGAAAUUAAUUCAACUUUGGCGUGAUAAGCAUUUCUUCAAGGCCAUAGUAUUAGGCAAUUGAUAGUGUAAUAGAUUUUUCAGAAGAUUAGAAGCAGAGAAGGGCUUUGAAAUAGAAAACAACUUUAUCAAAUCGUGGACAGACAAUAAAACUUGUAUGGGUAGGGUUUGCAGUAGGAUAAAUCCUUGUUUGGGACUAGGAUAAAUCUCUUGUCUGAUAAAAAUGCAACUAAUGCAAUGCUCUAGUGGGGCAUAGGUCUAUGAGAGAAAUCAAAUUUGUCAUUGUGUGAACAAUGCUUAUUUUUCCUAUUGACAUUCUUAUCCAUGAUACUCCUUCCAUCCUUAUUUGAUAGCCAUUGAUGUGUUUAAAGAUACAGGAAUUUAUUGCCCAUCAGGAAAUAACCUGAUUCUAGUAGAUAGCACACUUACAAACUUUAAAUUCUUGGUAUUAUAUUGAUUGUAUGAAUUAGGUUUGGUCAGAUAUAAACAAGCCAAAGGGACAAUUUAUUUUGCCAAAUGAUCGAUUGGCUGUGAUGACAUUCAUAUCCUCCCUCCCGAUAAGAAAGGUACCUCUGUUAUGAGUCUUGUCUUUGUUCUUUGCUUUUGUAUAGAAGGCUAAGAAGGGGUUCCUCAAGUUUGGUAGUAAUUGAGAAAUGUAAAACCAAUUAAAUAGUCUGGUGUAUGCUAACUUGUGUUCAUCAAUUCAUUUCUUUAUGCUUUAUGAACAGAUUGGAGGCAUUGGCAAGGUUACCGAGCAUAUCCUAAGGAAUACUUUUGAAAUAAAUACAUGCAAGGAUUUGCUUGAGAAAGGCAGUUUUCUCUGUGCCUUGUUUUCUCCUUCAUCUGCAGGACACUGAUUACCUUGUGGUUUUUCUUAUCUUUGAAUCUUUAAAGUCGUAUCAUUAAUUCUCUUAUGAAUGAUUUAGCUGUGUGGUAGCCAAGAUUUUCCAGAGGUCUCUUCUGUAUUCUUCUUGUGCCAUUGUAUAAUACAAGAGUGUGCUUCUUGAGCUUACUAGUGUCCAGGCUCGAAGGAGAGGGAAGCGAGCUAUAGAGUUGGGAAAAAGGUGGAAGAUGUCCUAGCUGAUCAAGAUAAGAAUGGACAGAAUACUCUGCUGAACUUUGUGGAGGAACCCAUAUAUCUAAUUUAAGAGAAGCCAAGGCAUUUGCUUUUUUUAUCUUAGCAGGGGAUUGCCAAAGGAAUUCGUAGAGUGACUGUUGUUACGUCUGAGGUUGCGUUGAAUGCAAUUAAUUUGGCAUGCUCCCUCGAGCGACAAUUGAUUGAUGCAUCAAACAUAGAUGCAAGCGUGGUGGAGAAAGUUAGUUUGGGAUAUUGUUCUAUUUUUUCUUCAACACUAGCAAUUUUAGAGAUUACAGCUUGUAGAUGACUGACUUAUUAGUUUGGUUGUUUUGACUCACAUUGAAUUUGUUUAUUAUAAAUUUUUUGUGAUUGAUUACGUUUAAUUAAUAUAAAUUUAGUGUAUUAU